GCCCCAUUGGCGCAGUCGGUUAGCGCGUCGUACUUAUAAUGCGAAGGUCAGCAGUUCGAGCCUGCUAUGGGGCA
rnacentral:tRNA from 1 species